rnacentral:tRNA from 1 species
UUGUAUUCUAGUUGGUUAGGAUACUUGGUUCUCACCCAAGAAACCUGGGUUCAGGUCCCGGCAA